CAGUUUCUAUCUGUUAAACCUCCUUCUCCUUCACCUGCUGCCAUUGUGCACAUCUGAGAUUGGAGUUCAAGAAGCGGGGAUGGUAAAGGGGGAGCAGGAAGGGUCUUACUUCAUUGUAACAGUUAAAAUCUAGAUUUGGGAUCCCUGAGACUGGCUGAGAUUUAAAGCUGAUUCUCCUGUGAGUAGUUUUGUGAGUUCUUUAUAAGGUUUUCCUGCUGAAACUCUCAAACUUUGAGCCCCAGAUGCUGCUGCUAAGUCACUUCAGUCGUGUCCGACUCUGUGCGACCCAAUGGACGGCAAUGAAUUUUGUUUUUCCAGCUUGUGAUGGUUAACUUUAUGUGUCAACUUGGCUGGGCCAUGAAGUGCCCAGAUAUUUGGAUAAACAUGAUUCUGGGUGUGUCUGUGGGAGUGUUUCUGGAUGAGAUUAAUGUUUGAGUUGGUAGACUGGGUAAAGCACACUGCCCCUCCCAUGAUGGGUGGGCCUCCUCCAAUCUAAUGACAGCCUGAGUAGAAUAAAAAGGCAGAGUAAGAAACGAACAAAAUUGUGUCAUUUGCAGAGACAUGGAAGGACCUAGAUACUGAUACUGAGAGAAAGGAGUCUGGCAGGCUACAGUCCAUGGAUUCACAAAGCAUCGUAGAUGACUGAGCAACUGAGCAUGCACACACAUGCCUGAUUCACUUUACCGAAUGCAGAAACUGAUCCAGCAAUGUAAAGCAACCAUACUUCAAAUAAAUAAGUAAAUAAAUAAAACUACUUAAAAAAAAAAA